GAUGAAGAACGUAGCGAAAUGCGAUACUUGGUGUGAAUUGCAGAAUCCCGUGAACCAUCGAGUCUUUGAACGCAAGUUGCGCCCGAAGCCAUUAGGCCGAGGGCACGCCUGCCUGGGCGUCACACGUCGUUGCCCCCCCAUCUACUCCUUCGGGAUUGCGGGGGGCGGAUGAUGGCCUCCCGUGCGCCUCGUCGCGCGGUUGGCAUAAAUGCCAAGUCCUCGGCGACACACGCCACGACAAUCGGUGGUUGCGAAACCUCGGUUGCCCGUCGUGUGCGGUCGUCGCGCAUCGAGGGCUCGAAAAAAUUGCCGGGCUCCGGCUCGGCUUUCAACGCGACCCCAGGUCAGGCGGGGUUACCCGCUGAAUUUAAGCAUAUCAAUAAGCGGAGG
rnacentral:misc_RNA from 1 species